UACGGGGGGGGCAAGCGUUGUUCGGAAUUACUGGGCGUAAAGGGCGCGUAGGCGGUUGGAUAAGUCAGCUGUGAAAACCCCGAGCUUAACUCGUGGCCUGCAGUUGAGACUGUCUGGCUUGAGUGUGGGAGAGGAGAGUGGAAUUCCUGGUGUAGCGGUGAAAUGCGUAGAUAUCAGGAGGAACACCGGUGGCGAAGGCGGCUCUCUGGACCACAACUGACGCUGAGGCGCGAAAGCUAGGGGAGCAAACAGG
rnacentral:rRNA from 1 species